AUUAGACCGCGGAGUGUACAGACAGGAAGCUGAAGUAUUGAGCGCCUGACCAGAGCUUCCUCCUGUGCAAGAGUGGGGGUUUCUCCAACUUGAAUCUUUAGCUCUACGUGCACGGUCCGAGUCUUGAAGUCCAAAGGAUAGAAAGCACCCAAAUCUCUCAGCUGGGUCCUCCGAGCAUGGAGAACGGAUUGCUGCACUUAAGCCCGGCUUGCAAGAGAACAAAGCGGAGUGAUGUAAAAUAGAAAAUGAGAAAAGCAAACCUUUGGUGAUUGAAGAGGAGGAAGGAAAAUGAAAGAGAAAAAGCUGAAGAGUGGGAAAAAAGAUAAAAUAAAAUGAAUUUUGGGGAUUCCACUAUCGUGUCUGACAUGUACGGCCGGACCAGUCAUUUCUGGCGCUCGGUUCCACUACGUGUAUCAGGAAUUGGUUCGGGUGAGCAGUCCAUAGUGCCACGCGCUGGAAGACAGCACGUGCCUCGUGCCCAGCAUCUGCAACGUGUGCCUGGUUGGAUACCUGAGCGGAGGGAGAAAGCACUGCUGGAUUUGGGACCGGCUCCAUACGUGAAGAGCUCUUUUUUUUUUUUGUUCGGUGGAGGAGGACUACGAAAGUCAACGUGUUCUGCCUGGGCUGAAGGCAUCGUGGGCUUGAUGCAUUUGAAGGGUUCAGGAGGAGGAAUCCCUGCGGGCAGUUCCUUGUCUGACAUUGCUGACAGUCUUCAUGGAUGUGACUUGAAGAGUCACUACCGCAGCAGGGCUGGGCUGCAGGCAGAUAUCUCGCUUUACGUCAGCAGUGAUCUCCUUGCACCUGGAGGAAAGCCAGGCACCCGGAGAGAGAGCAGAGGAUGA
rnacentral:lncRNA from 1 species